CCUUCUCGUGGAUGCCUAAGACAAGUAAUUUUUUUUUCUCAUCCUCAGAUUCCUCAUCUGCAAAAGAGGAUAACAUUUGCUCCUGCUUUAUUCCUAAGGUUGUUAUGAGGAAAAUUACCUUUAAGCCAAUGAAGCAUAUAUUUAGUGUCACACAACGGCAUCAAAGUCUGUAAGCACGAAAGAAGGAAAAAGCAUGCUACCUGCAUUCACAGAACUUGGGAACAAGCAUAGGAAGGACAACCCAUUGAUAUAUGUUUACAAUAGAAAGUAUCACAUCAUCUAGGUGACAGGGAGCAGAGUGGUCCCAACUCAAGUAAAAGAAACUUUAAUUCUGGCUGGUGCCCAAUGUCUGGCACAGACAUUGCAAUGAGACCUUGAUGGGUCUAUAGGACAAUCCAAUGAGUCUGUUAACUGUAAGGUGCGAUUCAGUGAUAAAAUACUACUUGUUACUUCUGCUGGGGCCACUAUUCACCUUCCGCAGCAGCCAUGGUCCCUCUAGGUAAUAAAAUAGCAUGGUGAUUCUAAGAAAGGACCACCUUCCCAGCUUCUGGAACUUCGGGGUAGGCAUGACUGACUAUGGUAUCUUUCAGUCUCAAAGGAGGGGAGGAUACAUCCCAGGUCCCACCAGAUAGAAUAAACACCAACCAAAGGUUAACAGUUAAAUUCUCUUUCCAUCUUCUAACAUUUCCCCCAAGUUCCUCUCAGGUGGGCCCCUUGCCCCCCAGCCCUCUCCCCACUGCCCCCAUCUAUCACCACAUCAACUCUUCUCCCUUACGAGGAUCAGAGCAGGCUCUGAGUUGGCCCACAUUCAAACCCCGACGAUAUCAAUUUCUAGUGUGUUAUAGGGAGCACCUUCCUUUAAUCUAUAGAUAAAUUUUACAUCUGUAAAAUGGGAAUGAAAAUGACAGUACCCACUUCAUAAUGUUGCUGGGAAGGUUAAGUAAAAUAAAUGUAUCUGGUGUAUAACACUUAAAAUAGUAUGUCUUAUAUUAUCACCUGGAGUGCAUGUCGCCAGAUUAUGGCUGUGGGCCAAACCCAGACAUGUCCAUUUGUUUGUGGAACGUCCAAGCGUCCCGUCACAACAGCUGGGUGGAAGAGUGACAGAGCUGUUAUGUCCUACAGAGCUAAGAUACUGUCCGGCCCUUUGCAGAAAAAGCUUGCUGACCUCUGACCUGGAAUGAUGAGAGGAGAAAACUGGCUUAUGCGACAUUGACAACCAGUUAGAUUUUGUCCUUGGUGGGCUUGCCAGUGCCUUUCCCUCCUUAUUGUUGGUUCUUAGUGUCUAAUGAUGUAUGGUAUGAACCCCUUAUAGUGGAGAUAUCCUUAUAGGGAGCUCCACAACUCAGUACCAUGGACAUUCCUGGGAUCUGUUUAUUUCCUCCUGCAGUCCAGUAUUAGUAGAGAAGGACUACAUGGCAGAUGUGGGGAAGGUGGGUGACCAAUUUCAGCUCUUUUUAGUUAUGGCAUAAUCUCAAAUGGAAACUGUAGAAUACUGUAAGGUAAAAGGGGCAUUGGUAUUAUCAGGUGAUAUCCUAGUUACCAAGCAGAGGGAAGCAGCGACAUGGAAAAAGAAGCAAACCAUGGCGGGUGGCUUGAAAUUUCCUCUGACCUUUUCCUCUGCGCCUUAAAUUAAGAGCCCUGUAAAGUCCAGUCUGAUUCCAUUUAAAUAUUUUUAAAGCACAUGCAACAUUAUUGCUAUUCUUUGUUUUUUCUUUUAAAGAUUUUAUUUAAUUAUUUGACAGAGAGAGAGCGAGAGAGGGAACACAAGCAGGGAGAGUGGCAGAGGGAGAAGCAGGCUUCCCGCCAAGCAGGGAGCCUGAUGCGGAGCUGGAUCCCAGGACCCUGGGAUCGUACCUGAGCCAAAGGCAGAUGCUUAACGACUGAGCCAUCCAGGCAUCCCAAUACUAUUGCUAUUCUAAGAUGUACAGAAAUCUGGGUAGAUGGGGAUUGUGUAGUGGAGCAGUAUUUCUAGGGUUUCGCUAUUUGCAUGUUGGGAAGAGCACCCAACUGGGUCCAAAAAACAUUGCCACGAUCUAGAUGGGACAACAGGAGGGGCGCCUGGGUGGCUCAGUUGGUUGGGCAGCUGCCUUCGGCUCAGGUCAUAGUUCCGGCGUCCUGGGAUCGAGUCCCACAUCAGGCUCCUUGCCCCGGAGGGAGCCUGCCUCUCCCUCUGACUCUGCCUGCCACUCUGCCUGUGCUCUCUCUCUCUCUGACAAAUAAAUAAAUAAAAUCUUAAAAAAAAAAAAAGAUCAUUUAGAUGGGACAACAGGGGCAUGGUGUUCCCUCUCUUAGCCUCAGGUUCCCAGUAGAGACAAUCUCUUUGUUAACUGAUGAAAGAUAAUAAAUGGAAACACUCAAAGAGCAGUGUGUGGCUGUGUAUGACUGUGUGGUGGGGUGUUCUGUAAGGAAGGGAUUGUAAGCUUUCUUUUGAAUGGUAGAUGCGGCAAGAAGAUACUCUAAAAUGAGCUUCAGUCACAGCUGUUUUCACCUACUGCCCCUAGGCCAUCUACAUCCAUUCCCCUUUUUCAUCCAAGGGAAGGUUGCUUUGGACCACAGCUCUCAUCAAGGCGGAGAAUGAACCUAGUGUUCACUUGUGCACACAUGUCAUCCAGAGACAUGCAGUCCUAAAAUCACUGGUUUUGGGGAGUUGUCUCUUGUCAGUGCAGAGGCUUUCCUUAGUUGAAUAAAAAAACAGAUGCUCAUUAAUUUUAAAGAUUCAUUAAAAAACCAACAUUUGGGGCACCUGUGUGGCUCAGUUGGUUAAGUGUCUGCCUUUGGCUCAGGUCAUGAUCCCAGGGUCCUGGGAUCAAUCCCUGAGUGGGCCUCCUUGCUCAACAGGGAGCCUGCUUCUCCCUCUCCCUCUGUCUGCCACUCGCCCUGCUUAUGCUCUCUCUCUUUCUUUGUCAAAUAAAUAAAUAAAACCUUAAAAAAAAAGAAAACAAACAACAAAAAAAAAAAACCUCGCCAACAUUCAUUGAGCUCUCACUAUAUCCUCAGCACUGUAGUCAGUAUCUGGGACCGCAAGAGUGGACAGUCAUGGUCCCUUAAUGACCUCAAAUCCCGCCUUGAAAUACUCUCUAACAGUCUCGUUCUGAAUGCACACUCCUUUACUUUGUUACAGUCAGCCACAACUGGGAGGCUCUCUGACCCCCUGUGCACGACGCCCUCACUGUCCUUCCCCUACUCUUGAUGCCCCUCCUUUCAGUUUCUGCUUACUUUUAGAGUUUCUUGCCCACUAAAGUGCAAAUGACAGUUCAGGAGAGUUUUCUUCCUGGGGAACUUGCAUUAGAGAUCCACGUCCUCCCCAAGGCACUUUCCCUGCUGAACCUGGAUUUGGCCUCAGGACCCAUCUGUCCUUACCAGUCACAGUUGGCAGUCAGGUCUUCAACUAUUCAUCAUGCUUUAAGCCAAGACUGAAAAUUCAGGGAUCAGAUAGCAAACACUAGGUUCAGUUUUUGUGGGGAAGAGGGAAAGGAUAGGAACAGGGGUUUUAUGUUUUUUUUUGGGGGUGGGGGAGCCCUGCAGAAUGAGAUGACAGAGAUACAGCCUGUCCCUGUUAUAUAUAAGGUCCCAACUUAGCAAAAGGCAUUGCCCAAGGGUGGCAAUUAUCCUGCAGAAAUGUUCGCUACCAAGAAGAAAGUUGGAGAUGAUCUUCGCUGAACUGAAAAUCUUGUCACAGAGAAAGUGAGGAGUGUGGAAUUUAUAUCCCUAUAAAGGCACAGCUACUCAAAAUACCCAGCGUAAGUGGAGAAUUCAGAGCAGAAGCACCAUGCAUAGAGAAGGCCCCCGAGGUACUUUAAGGUGCCUAAGUGAACAGUUGGCCUCAAGAAGAAUCUAAUUUGAAUGUUUCAGAGCAAUCAUACAAGGAGGUCUCUUUUGGAAAGUUCUACCAUCUCGUGCACUGUGUUUGACAGAGAUAGAGUCCAAAGAAGGACAAUGAACACAUUCAUUAAUGAGGACUCAACUUGCUAUUGUACUGUCAAAAAGGCUCACCAAUUUAAAUGAUAUUCUAAGCUUUCACAGUAUUUAUUUUUUAAAAGGUUUAUUUAUUUAUUUGACAGAGAGUGUGUGGGGGCCAAGGGGCAGAGGGAGACGGAGAGGGAGAGAGAAUUCCAUGCCAUCUCCACCCCCCAAGAACGCAGCCUCACACAGGGCUCGAUCUUAGGACCCUGAGGUCAAGAUCUGAGCCGAAACCAAGAGUUGGAUGCUUAACAGACUGAGCCACCCAGGUGCCCCCAGCUUUCACAGUAUUUAAAUGUGAAAGAAUGCAUUAAACUUGGGAACCUGCUGGGAUAUAGUAGAUUGUAAACAUCUCCAUAUGGUUAUAGAAUUUCAAAUGCAUCAUUAUGCCCUCACGAAAAUGAUAAUAUAUAAAUGCAGGAGAGCUUAGUUCAAGUAAAUGCAUUAUUGGAGUUGACAACGAAAGCGUGGACACCUUUAGGACUCAUAGGUGGGCUCACUGCCGAUCUCUGUGGACCAAGGAACCAACUUGGUAUCAUCUGGGCUCUCUGAAAAAGCUCUCUUUACAAUGUAUCGAACUGCAAGUCUCUGAAGCUCCUGUCCAGCUGUCAAAAUAUUGGAGUCACUUGUCUACAGUGAAAUGAUUUUCCAUGGAGACAUCUUUUUCCUACUCCUUAUUCCACGUGACGGGAGAAGACCUGCCCAACGUGAUGUAAAUGUGGCCAAAGUACCAAAACCCUCUGGACACAGUGACUGGUUCGGGAAUGAUUCUUUCAAGAUGAAACCAGGUAAAUAAAAACUGGACUCUGGAAUUUACUGGGCAGGGAUUCUCUUUCAACGAGAAGAAGUAAGGACAUUAGGAAGUAAGUCUAGAGGUGCUAAUGGUCAUCUUACCAGCAGAUAGACCGAUUUAUUGAAGCUAACUAUAAAUGAACUAUUGAAACUAACAGAGAGAACAGCAGGAGAUGGAGAAGAACAGAUCCUGAAUUGCGUCAUUGGAAUCUCUGGCCUCAUCAUCCCUGAGGUUUCACUUGUGCACCUUUUAGUUCUCCAGCCCAUGGAUUUUUUUUUUUUCCACUUCAGACUUUGGAGUUAAGUUUCUGUCACUUGCCAUGAAAAGAGACUUGACUGAUUCACUUACUUCUCACUAUGAAGGAGAUGCUCUAUAAAGAGUCCACGGCCAAGCUAUGUAUGACUCAUGGUUGCGUCAAGAGAUCCAGGGUGCUAAAUGUCAGUGAUAUGGUGUGUGAUGGCCUUCACCCCAUCUUCUGCUAGACUGCCUAAUAGACCUUGAGUCUGGAUCUUCAGAGUCUAGGCUAUCAGCACUGCAGCCCACCUAACUGCAGCUAACAGGUGAGUCUGCUCUUUUGUUCAGGUUGAUGCUGGCUUUUAACCCUUGAGCUAGGAUACGCUUCUAAUAAAUCCUUGUAGAACCCUUUCUGAUGACUCAACUCCACCCGAUUCAUUCGGGAUUUCUUACUGUCUGCAGAAACUUAAAUAUUACCUGAAUCGCACCCUCCCCUAAACCACCAUUGGCUUUCUUGGACUUUGAUGCCUGGACUGGAUUGGAGCUUGCUCUGAAUUACUCCUGACUAUAACACCAAAUUUGAACUCCUGACCACCAUCCUCCUUUACCAGAAUGGGACCAAACUUCCUUUUUCAGUUUUUCCUGGCUCCUGGACAAUUCUUACUUACCCUUCUACCGUUCUUUAGGAGUGAUGAAAGCCAUUUCAUUUAUAGAUCUCUACGCUUAGAUAUAACGAGGCUAUAUCAGGAUCUUGAAUGUGCUUUUUAAAACUAAAUGCAAGUUUCAAUUUUUCAUGUACCAAGUGCCUAUCCCCCACCCACAACCCCGAAAUCAGAAUCAUGCCGGAGUUCUCUAGCCAGACUCUACUUGGGAAACCAGCCAAAGGAAAUCUCUGCAACAGACUGGUCCAGCCCAAUUAGAGGAACUGGAGUACGUGUUACUCCAACAAAAAGAAGGCCUGCCCAGAGUCAUCCAGCCCGUCCUUAUGCUGGCCCAGCCAAGGCAGGAAAAGUGGAGAAUGGCCACUAAAGACAGAAGUGACUUCAUGCUCUGUGUCUGGAAUUGCCUCUGAGCUUGUCCUAGCAAUGGACAUUGGGUGCUGACCAAGAGGACUUUGAUGAUUGUUGGUAGCUUUGGGCAAAUGGGUCAUUUGCUGGGACGACUCUUCUCAUUUCCAGGUUGGUACCUCAGUCUCCAUGUCAUCUGAAGCAAUGAGUCCUGGGUUUCCUGCCUGGAUGUGGGAACCUGAAGACAGAGCUCCAAGACUUAGUCUACUUUAAACUGAGGAGCCAGGGAAGACUGCCUAGCCCAGACCACUGAGGUAGCCAUGAUUUCCUUCUUUUCAGAUAACCCAGGAUCAUGACCAGCCCUUGGACUCUUGAACCUCUCAGGGCCAAUGGAGAGGACAUGGGUCCAAGUGAGGAGUUCAGAAUGCCUCCAAGACAACUUAAACCAGGAAAGGAGAGUAGAGUCCCAUGCCAGAAUUUAAAGGGGGGCCCAAAGUCAAAGGAGGCCAAUUAUUUCGUUAAGAGCUGACCAAAGGGCUGAGCACCCAGGAAGUUGAGGUCAGAGGAAAUGGAAGACUGCCAGGAGGCCAUGUAGUGAUCCCGCCCCUCCCACCGCAGUCCUUGGAUUUUUGUUCAUGGCUGGGGGGAGGGAAGUGGUGGUGAGUCCCAGUCCUGCACUGUAAACUGAACCGUGGGUGACAAUUUCCAUUUAAACAAUAAAUGCUGGCUACACCCUAGGCUGGCUCAGCAAAGUCUAUUAAACACAUCAUAUAGGAACAAA